UAAAGUAGUUCUAGUGCACAUUACCUUAGGAACUUAUUGUUUUGUUUUUAUUGUGCAGAAAAUGAUAAAAAAAAGUCAAUGCGCGCGAGGAGGAAAUUUAAUCAUAAAUUGGAAUUGCGGUGCCAUGGGAGCAUUAAGAGUUGGAGCCUAUUCUAAGGAUGAUGCAGCAGUAUAAAUAUUUAGAAAAUAAAUGACAUGCAAUAUUUAAAGGAAAUUGUUUUGCAACAAGUGGGAUCGUCUCAUAUCAGCUUGUUUAAGCUGAACAAACAAAUGGAAUUGCAGAAUCUGUACAAUAAGAAUGAAGGUGGUCAAACAGCCCAAAAAGUGUAGCUUCUUAAUGGAUAUAUUUCCAUUACAAGCUCAACAAAAGAAGAAGGACAUCCAAACAGAUUGAUGCCACAAAAAUUAGUUCAUUCUAUGGCGUGCUUGCUGUGAUGUAGGAUUUUUAAGCUCAUAUUAAGACAGAAAAAGUUUGCAAACUGCAGAGAAAGACGAAUCUUUAACAACUGUAAACACAGUAAACACACACAACAGUAAAGCAAAUCAAUCUAGGUCUAUUCCCAAUGUAUAGGCUGUGAAAAUUAAAUUAUAGAAUCACAAAUUGUCUAACUACAAUGGCGAAAAAUCUAUUCAAAUAAAAAAGCCCUGGACAUGUGGCACACUUUGUAUACUUCAAAUUUUAUGUUGCAGGCGUCCACCAAAUUAACACACCAAUUGCCGUACUCGCCCAAAACCAACAUUGAUUAAAGACGCGCUAACUAUUCAAAAUGCCUUUGCCUCUUCUUUAGUGAAAAAAGAAGCUGUUGCAACAAAUUGCCUGCAUUAAUCAGACAUGGACAAGGAGCAGAAGCUUGUGUCUACCGAUUUGCGGCGACAGCUGCGCAUACUCUAAGCAUGCACAAGAAAUUCCAUUGUAGCACAGUGGUCGGCAAGUUAUUGUAUUUUUAUGACUUUCAUCAAAGUUGUAAUAUUGAUUUAUGCUGCCUCUGUUUGCUAAAAUCGCGGACUCAGAUCAAUAUA